CGAACCAAACGGUGGCAGAAAGUUGUAGAAGAAUCAGAUGCGCAAUUGACAUGAGUUGGUUAGGAUAGGAUUCUUUUCAAGUAUUAUUUAUCGCCAUUGGCUCUGGUACCAUGUUGUUAUCUGAUGUCUUCAUCUAUGUUUGAUAUAUACCAUAUUGAGAUAGAUGUUUAGAUGCGAUUCUGACAUCUUCUAUACGUUGUGAUGUUACAAGGGUGUUAGUGAUGGUGGUGAUGUCACGGUCGUACGUGGAUCACAUUGACGUAUGAAUGCUCCCGUACUUAAGGAGGUAUUUGAGACACGGGGCAAAAUGCUGAAAGAGUUUUUAUAAUUAAGUUUUUCUUUACACUAAAAACCAAAGAAGUUUUAUGAACUCUUGACUGAUCGAGUGUAAGAUUUAUACUUAUCGGUAGGAUGCUUAUUUGGUGCAUUUUGUCGUUAA